rnacentral:rRNA from 1 species
CCAGAGAACUUAGCAGAGAUGCUUUGGUGCCUUCGGGGAACUCUGAGACAGGUGCUGCAUGGCUGUCGUCAGCUCGUGUUGUGAAAUGUUGGGUUAAGUCCCGCAACGAGCGCAACCCUUAUCCUUUGUUGCCAGCGGUUCGGCCGGGAACUCAAAGGAGACUGCCGGUGAUAAACCGGAGGAAGGUGGGGAUGACGUCAAGUCAUCAUGGCCCUUACGGCCAGGGCUACACACGUGCUACAAUGGCGCAUGCAAAGAGAAGCGACCUCGCGAGAGCAAGCGGACCUCAUAAAGUGCGUCGUAGUCCGGAUUGGAGUCUGCAACUCGACUCCAUGAAGUCGGAAUCGCUAGUAAUCGUAGAUCAGAAUGCUACGGUGAAUACGUUCCCGGGCCUUGUACACACCGCCCGUCACACCAUGGGAGUGGGUUGCAAAAGAAGUAGGUAGCUUAACCUUCGGGAGGGCGCUUACCACUUUGUGAUUCAUGACUGGGGUGAAGUCGUAACAAGGUAAGCGUAGCGAG